GGGAUUGCCCUAGUAACGGCGAGUGAAGCGGCAACAGCUCAAAUUUGAAAUCUGGCCCUAGCGGUCCGAGUUGUAAUUUGUAGAGGAUGCUUUUGGCGCGGUGCCUUCUGAGUUCCCUGGAACGGGACGCCAGAGAGGGUGAGAGCCCCGUACGGUUGGCCGCCUAGCCUUUAUACAGCUCCUUCGACGAGUCGAGUAGUUUGGGAAUGCUGCUCUAAAUGGGAGGUAAAUUUCUUCUAAAGCUAAAUACCGGCCAGAGACCGAUAGCGCACAAGUAGAGUGAUCGAAAGAUGAAAAGUACUUUGAAAAGAGGGUUAAAUAGCACGUGAAAUUGUUGAAAGGGAAGCGUUUGCGACCAGACCUUUUCCUGGCGGAUCAUCCGGUGUUCUCACCGGUGCACUUCGCCUGGUUUAGGCCAGCAUCGGUUCUCUUAGGGGGAUAAAGGCCUUGGGCACGUAGCUCUUUCGGGAGUGUUAUAGCCCCUGGCGUAAUACCCUUCGGGGGACCGAGGACCGCGCUCUGCAAGGAUGCUGGCGUAAUGGUCGUCAACGACCCGUCUUGAAACACGGACCAAGGAGUCGAACAUUUGUGCGAGUGUUUGGGUGUUAAACCCUCACGCGUAAUGAAAGUGAACGGAGGUGAGAGCCCCUAGGGGUGCAUCAUCGACCGAUCCUGAUGUCUUCGGAUGGAUUUGAGUAAGAGCAUAACUGUUCGGACCCGAAAGAUGGUGAACUAUGCGUGGAUAGGGUGAAGCCAGAGGAAACUCUGGUGGAGGCUCGCAGCGGUUCUGACGUGCAAAUCGAUCGUCAAAUCUGCGCAUGGGGGCGAAAGUACGUAUAUAAUAUAACCUAAACCUACCCUGUAACACUUAUGCUA
rnacentral:rRNA from 1 species